CCUACGGGAGGCAGCAGUGGGGAAUAUUGCACAAUGGGGGAAACCCUGAACCAGCGAAGUCGCGUGAGUGAAGAAGUACCUACGUAUGUAAAGCCCUUUUUGCAGGGAAGAAACUGCCGCCACCUGAGUAAGAAGCCCCGGGCAACUACGAGACAGCAGCCGCGGUCACACGUGGGGGGCAGGCGUUAUCCGGAUUUACUGGGGGUAAAGCGGGCGUAGGUGGCUGGGCAGGUCAGAUGUGAAAACCGGGGGUUCAACCCCGGGAGUGCAUUUGAAACUGGCCGGCUGGAGUGCAGGAGAGGUAAGCGGAAUUCGUGGUGUAGCGGUGAAAGGCAUAGAUAUUACGAGGAACCCCGGUGGCGAAGGCAGCUUACUGGACUGCAACUGACGCUGAGGCUCGAAAGCGUGGGGAGCAAACAGGAUUAGAUACCCUAGUAGUC
rnacentral:rRNA from 1 species